AGGUUAGUUUUACCCUACUGAUGAAGUUGUUGUCGUGACAGUAAUCCAACUUAGUACGAGAGGAACCGUUGGUUCAGAUAAUUGGUAACGCGGUUGGCUGAAAAGCCAAUGCCGCAAAGCUACCAUCUGUAGGAUUAUGGCUGAACGCCUCUAAGCCAGAAUCCAUGCUGAAAAACGACGAUAUUCACCUUUUCUAAUGUUACAUGCAUAGCAAUAGGCU
rnacentral:rRNA from 9 species